rnacentral:lncRNA from 1 species
CCUCACUCCACUAGCUGCCCAUGAGUCCUGAGCCCAGUCCAACAAGCCAUGGCUGGGACUGGGUGUGGGCAGACAAGAGGAAGCUUCAAGGAAGAGGACAAUGGGAUGAGUGAAGGAUUGCAUCUGAGCCAGGAGGAUGAGAAUAUAUCAGCCACUUUCAAGCAAAUCUGUCUGUGCCAGAGAGGACAGGAUUUUGAAGAGUUACAACUGUGGCAGCAAGUAUUAAUUUAAUAUUCCUGCUUCUGGAAGGAACAGCAUUGAUAGGAAUUGCCAAGUAACCAGGCCCAACCUGUGGCCCAUCUGGCCUUGAGUCCUGUCUAUAACAGCAACAAGUAUUUGGAAGAAGAUGAAAAUAUUUCUGGGAUGGAUGAUUACAAAUGACCUACAAAUAACUGUGUCCAAUACUUUCUUGAGAGCUCAGCUUCUGUUUCUCGCAAUGGCUCUGUUCAUUUCAGUAGGGGAGAUAUAGCAACUGAUGUUUAACAAUUAAUUUUUUUUGUUUCACCUGUCAAGCUUUGCUGGUCAAUUUUGCUUUACAAAAUCUAUAAGUAGAGAACACUGGUGUUUUCUUUUGUACUGGUGACAUGAAGGAAUUAAAGGAU